rnacentral:rRNA from 1 species
GAUGAACGCUGGCGGCGUGCCUAAUACAUGCAAGUCGAGCGAACCACUUCGGUGGUGAGCGGCGAACGGGUGAGUAACACGUAGGUGAUCUGCCCAUCAGACGGGGACAACGAUUGGAAACGAUCGCUAAUACCGGAUAGGACGAAAGUUUAAAGGUGCUUCUGGCACCGCUGAUGGAUGAGCCUGCGGCGCAUUAGCUAGUUGGUAGGGUAAAGGCCUACCAAGGCGACGAUGCGUAGCCGACCUGAGAGGGUGAACGGCCACACUGGGACUGAGACACGGCCCAGACUCCUACGGGAGGCAGCAGUAGGGAAUCUUCGGCAAUGGGCGAAAGCCUGACCGAGCAACGCCGCGUGAGUGAAGAAGGUUUUCGGAUCGUAAAGCUCUGUCUUCAAGGACGAAUGUAGAUAUUGUGAAUAAUGAUAUUUAAUGACGGUACUUGAGGAGGAAGCCACGGCUAACUACGUGCCAGCAGCCGCAGUAA